rnacentral:rRNA from 1 species
UACGGAGGGUGCAAGCGUUGUUCGGAAUUAUUGGGCGUAAAGGGCGUGUAGGUGGCAAGCCAAGUCCGGUGUGAAAUCCCACGGCUCAACCGUGGAACUGCAUUGGAAACUGGCUUGCUCGAGGGUUGGAGGGGGUCGCGGAAUUCCCGGUGUAGAGGUGAAAUUCGUAGAUAUCGGGAGGAACACCAGUGGCGAAGGCGGCGACCUGGCCAAUCACUGACACUGAGGUGCGAAAGCGUGGGGAGCAAACAGG